AUGAUGGAGAGCCAGCCGCUGCAGGCCGCCACGGCCGAGCCCCACGGCGCCGGAGCCGCGGACGACCAGGCCGGAGCCCCCGCCGUCGUUCCCGGGAAGGAGUUCACGCGGACCUGCAAGGGCCUCGUCGUCGUGCUCAUCGGCGGCUACGUGCUGCUCCAGCUCCUCCCCUCCUCCCUCAACUACCUCGCCAUCAUCCCCGCCAAGACAAUUCCCUUCGUAUGGACCGUCUUCACAGCCGGUUACAUUGAGCAAGUCCUUCCAGGGGCUAUUGGCAGUUCCCUUGGUCUUCUCUUCUGCGGGAAGGAUAUCGAACCAGUCUGGGGCCGCAAGGAGUUCUUGAAGUUCAUUAUCUUGAUCAACUCCAUCUGCGGCAUCCUUGCGUUCUGCAUUGCUGUCGCACUGUACUAUGUCACCGGGAAAGAGAGCUUCCUUGUAACGCCACUUUCUGGCUUCCAUGGCGCCCUUGCCGGCUUUCUGGUUGGCCUGAAGCAGCUCCUGCCAAACCUUGAGCUCCCCAUGUGCUUUUUCUGGAAAAUUAAGGCCAAGUGGAUGCCAUUCUUUGUCAUGUGCUUCUCAACUAUCAUGGCCUUCAUUGUGCCGGAUUCAAUCAACUUCCUGCCGACUUUGUUGUCUGGGAUGUACGUCAGCUGGCUUUACCUGAGAUACUUCCAGAAGAACCCACUGACAGGGCUUAAGGGCGACCCAAGCGAUGACUUCUCCUUCCCCAGCUUGUUCCCAGAUGCCAUGCGGCCAGUCACAGACCCAGUUGCUAAUCUGUUCGACCGGAUGUUGUGUGCGAGGUCCAAGCCUUCGGAAAUUGCCCUCCCAGUCACCGAUCCUACUAAGGCAUCGAGAAGAAGGGAGCGCGGCGAGAGGGUUCUCGAGGAAAGGAUGGCCGCGGAUCAUCACGCGGCUGACGCCGAAGCCCCAGCUCACUCCGCGGAAGACUAA
rnacentral:rRNA from 1 species